AUUGAACGCUGGCGGCAGGCCUAACACAUGCACGUCGAGCGGAGCGGCGGACGGGUAAGUAAUGCCUAGGAAUCUGCCUGGUGGUGGAGGGUAACGUCCGGAGACGGACGCUAAUACAGCAUGCUAGCAGGGGAGCCUAGGUCGGAUUAGCUAGUUGGUGGGGUAAAGGCCUACCAAGGCGACGAUCCGUAACUGGUCUGAGAGGAUGAUCAGUAACACUGUAACUGAGACACGGUCCAGACUCCUACGGGAGGCAGCAGUGGGGAAUAUUGGACAAUGGGCGAAAGCCUGAUCCAGCCAUGCCGCGUGUGUGAAGAAGGUCUUCGGAUUGUAAAGCACUGUAAGUUGGGAGGCGUUACCAACAGAAUAAGCACCGGCUAACUUCGUGCCAGCAGCCGCGGUAAUUC
rnacentral:rRNA from 1 species